rnacentral:rRNA from 1 species
GGGGUGAGUAACGCGUGAGUAACCUGCCUUACACAAGGGGAUAGCCGUUGGAAACGACGAAUAAUACCCUAUGAAACUAUCACUUCGCAUGAAGCGAUAGUCAAAGUGUUAGCGGUGUAAGAUGGACUUGCGUCUGAUUAGCUAGUUGGUGAGAAAAAAGCCCACCAAGGCAACGAUCAGUAGCCGGCUUGAGAGAGUGUACGGCCACAUUGGGACUGAGACACGGCCCAG